rnacentral:rRNA from 1 species
AGAGUUUGAUCCUGGCUCAGAAUGAACGCUGGCGGCGUGCUUAACACAUGCAAGUUGGACGAGAAAGCUCUUCGGAGUGAGUAAAGUAGCGAACGGGUGAGUAACACGUGAGAAUCUACCCCCUGGAGAGGGAUACCCUUAAGAAAUUGAGGUUAAUCCCACAUAAGCUCCUUGCGGAGGAAAGGUGGCCUCUUUGCUGCCACCAGGGGAUGAGCUUGCGGCCUAUUAGCUAGUUGGUGGGGUAAAUGCCUACCAAGGCGAUGAUGGGUAGCCGGCCUGAGAGGGUGUACGGCCACAUUGGGACUGAGAUACGGCCCAGACUCCUACGGGAGGCAGCAGUGAGGAAUCUUGUGCAAUGGGCGAAAGCCUGACACAGCGACGCCGCGUGGAGGAUGAAGGUCUUUGGAUCGUAAACUUCUGUUGAACGGGAAGAAAGACUUAGGGUUAAUAGCCCUGGGGGAUGACUGUACCGUUAAAGAAAGUCCCGGCUAACUUCGUGCCAGCAGCCGCGGUAAUACGAGGGGGACAAGCGUUAUUCGGAGUUACUGGGCGUAAAGCGUGCGCAGGCGGCCUUAUAAGUCAGUUGUAAAAUUCCAUAGCUUAACUAUGGACUCGCGAUUGAUACUGUAGGGCUAGAGUGUGGGAGAGAGAAGCGGAAUUCUCGGAGUAGCGGUAAAAUGCGUAGAUCUCGAGAGGAACACCGAUGGCGAAAGCAGCUUCUUGGUCCACUACUGACGCUCAUGUACGAAAGCGUGGGGAGCAAACAGGAUUAGAUACCCUGGUAGUCCACGCCGUAAACGAUGAUCACUAGAUGUCUGGUUCCUUUGGGGACUGGGUGUCGAAGCUAACGCGUUAAGUGAUCCGCCUGGGGAGUACGGUCGCAAGAUUAAAACUCAAAGGAAUUGACGGGGGCCCGCACAAGCGGUGGAACAUGUGGUUUAAUUCGACGCUACGCGAGAAACCUUACCUAGGUUUGACAUGCGUAUGACAUCUAUGGAAACAUAGCCUUCUAGUUUACUAGACAUAUGCACAGGUGCUGCAUGGCUGUCGUCAGCUCGUGUCGUGAGAUGUUAGGUUAAGUCCUUUAACGAGCGCAACCCUUGUCGUUAGUUGCUAGCCUUUUAGGCGCACUCUAGCGAGACUGCCCGGGGAACCGGGAGGAAGGUGGGGAUGACGUCAAGUCCUCAUGGCCCUUAUGCCUAGGGCUACACACGUGUUACAAUGGCUGGUACAAAGGGGGAGCGAACCUGCGAGGGUAAGCAAAUCCCAUAAAGCCAGUCUAAGUUCGGAUUGGAGUCUGCAACUCGACUCCAUGAAGUUGAAAUCGCUAGUAAUCGCGUAUCAUAACGACGCGGUGAAUACGUUCACGGGCCUUGUACACACCGCCCGUCACAUUAUGAAAGUUGUUUGUACCCGAAGUCGUUUUGCGACGCCUAAGGUAUGGGCGGCGAUUGGGAUGAAGUCGAAACAAGGUAGCUGUAGGAGAACCUGCGGC